rnacentral:rRNA from 1 species
AGUGAACGCUGGCGGUAGGCCUAACACAUGCAAGUCGAACGGCAGCACAGUAAGAGCUUGCUCUUACGGGUGGCGAGUGGCGGACGGGUGAGGAAUACAUCGGAAUCUACUUUUUCGUGGGGGAUAACGUAGGGAAACUUACGCUAAUACCGCAUACGACCUACGGGUGAAAGCAGGGGAUCUUCGGACCUUGCGCGAUUGAAUGAGCCGAUGUCGGAUUAGCUAGUUGGCGGGGUAAAGGCCCACCAAGGCGACGAUCCGUAGCUGGUCUGAGAGGAUGAUCAACCACACUGGAACUGAGACACGGUCCAGACUCCUACGGGAGGCAGCAGUGGGGAAUAUUGGACAAUGGGCGCAAGCCUGAUCCAGCCAUACCGCGUGGGUGAAGAAGGUCUUCGGGUUGUAAAGCCCUUUUGUUGGGAAAGAAAAGCAGCAGGUUAAUACCCCGCUGUUCUGACGGUACCCAAAGAAUAAGCACCGGCUAACUUCGUG